rnacentral:rRNA from 1 species
UCACUUUCAACAACGGAUCUCUUGGUUCUCGCAUCGAUGAAGAACGUAGCGAAGUGCGAUAAGUAAUGUGAAUUGCAGAAUUCCGUGAAACAUCGAAUCUUUGAACGCAUAUUGCACUUUCUGGUAUUCCGGAAAGUACGCCUGUUUGAGGGUCAGUU